CAGAGUAUGUGAAGAGGAGUAGAUGUGAAAUCAGUCUGGAAAUAUAAGGCGGAGCCAUAUUGUGAAGAGUGUUGUCUACCAAAUGGCUGAAACUUCGGCACGAUGAAAAGUUCCUUGGAUAUAAAGUCAGAAGAUCAAAUUCUGGAUCUACUAUGUUACCUUGGCUUCCAGAGAGGCAGGACUGCUUUGGAAAAGCCUUAAGAAGACUUGGUAAAGUGAUGAUUAAGAUCAUAGGAUCUGCAGUUGGAAGGAAGCUGAGAAAUCACCAUCUAGCUCAGUGGUCUUCAAACUUUUGUGACUGUGCUACCCUACCAGUAAAACAUUUCAGAGCAUGCAUUCCCAAUAUACAGGCAUACCAUGAAGAUGUUGUAGGUUUGAUUCCAGACCACUGCAAUAGAGUGAAUAUAGUAAUAAAACA